GCACAGGUAGCAGAAAUGAAUGAGCACUGUGAUAAAGUGAAGGCAGAGAGGCCUUUAACAUUUAACCCCAGGGGAAGUACGUGUUGUAUGUGUGGUGUGCAACACAAAGCUACGUUUAGUUAUGGGCCCCUGGGGAGAGCAGGGUGGGCCAAUGCUCCACUCCUCAGUUUAUACACAACUGGGAGAAAUAAGGUCCAGGCCAGAGUUUUUUGGAACUGUCUCCAACCCACUGCUCAGCUGCAGAUAAUCAGCUGUAGCAGUGGGAAUAAACCCCUCCCUGCUAGGAAGGUAAAGGGGGAUUGCUGGCUUCCACCCUGGAAGCAGGUAGGAGAGAGGCUGUUCUCUCCAGUGAGAGAGUCAAUGAGACUUGGCACUGGGAGCGCAGAAGGAAGCAGUCAAGGCUGGCUUGGAGCACUGGGAGUGCAGAAAGGAAAGCAGUUAAGGCUGGCUUGGAGCACUGGGAGUGCAGAAAGGAAAGCAGUUAAGGCUGGCUUGGAGCACUGGGAGUGUAGAAAGGAAAGCAACAGGCUGACUAAGCACUGGAGUGCAGAGGGCUG